GACGAACGCUGGCGGCGCGCCUAACACAUGCAAGUCGAACGGAGUCACGAGGAGCUUGCUUUUCUUGACUUAGUGGCGAACGGGUGAGUAACGCGUGAGUAACCUGCCCUGGAGUGGGGGACAACAGUUGGAAACGACUGCUAAUACCGCAUAAGCCCACGGAUCUGCAUGGAUCUGCGGGAAAAGGAUUUAUUCGCUCUAGGAUGGACUCGCGUCCAAUUAGCUAGUGGGUGAGGUAACGGCCCACCAAGGCGACGAUUGGUAGCCGGACUGAGAGGUUGAGCGGCCACUUUGGGACUGAGACGCGGCCCAGACUCCUACGGGAGGCAGCAGUGGGGGAUAUUGCACAAUGGGGGAAACCCUGAUGCAGCGACGCCGCGUGGAGGAAGAAGGUUUUCGGAUUGUAAACUCCUGUCGUUAGGGACGAUAAUGACGGUACCUAACAAGAAAGCACCAGCUAACUACGUG
rnacentral:rRNA from 1 species